rnacentral:rRNA from 1 species
UACGUAGGUGGCAAGCGUAGUCCGGAAUUAUUGGGCGUAAAGCGCGCGCGGGCGGUUAUGUAAGUAUGAUGUUAAAGCCCGGGGCUCAACCUCGGUUCGCAUUGGAAACUGUGUAACUUGAGUGCAUAAGAGGAAAGUGGUAUUCCACGUGUAGCGGUGAAAUGCGUAGAUAUGUGGAGGAACACCAGUGGCGAAGGCGACUUUCUGGUCUGUAACUGACGCUGAGGCGCGAAAGCGUGGUGAGCAAACAGG